CGUACACUCCUGCGGGAGGCAGCAGUGGGGAAUAUUAGACAAUGGGCGCAAGCCUGAUCCAGCCAUGCCGCGUGAGUGAUGAAGGCCCUAGGGUUGUAAAGCUCUUUCACCGGUGAAGAUAAUGACGGUAACCGGAGAAGAAGCCCCGGCUAACUUCGUGCCAGCAGCCGCGGUAAUACGAAGGGGGCUAGCGUUGUUCGGAUUUACUGGGCGUAAAGCGCACGUAGGCGGACUAUUAAGUCAGGGGUGAAAUCCCGGGGCUCAACCCCGGAACUGCCUUUGAUACUGGUAGUCUUGAGUUCGAGAGAGGUGAGUGGAAUUCCGAGUGUAGAGGUGAAAUUCGUAGAUAUUCGGAGGAACACCAGUGGCGAAGGCGGCUCACUGGCUCGAUACUGACGCUGAGGUGCGAAAGCGUGGGGAGCAAACAUGAUUAGAUACCCGUGUAGUCCC
rnacentral:rRNA from 1 species